rnacentral:rRNA from 1 species
UACGUAGGGUGCAAGCGUUAAUCGGAAUUACUGGGCGUAAAGGGCUCGUAGGCGGCCAACUAAGUCAGACGUGAAAUCCCUCGGCUUAACCGGGGAACUGCGUCUGAUACUGGAUGGCUGGAGGUUGGGAGAGGGAUGCGGAAUUCCAGGUGUAGCGGUGAAAUGCGUAGAUAUCUGGAGGAACACCGGUGGCGAAGGCGGCAUCCUGGACCAAUUCUGACGCUGAGGAGCGAAAGCCAGGGGAGCAAACGGG